rnacentral:rRNA from 1 species
UACGUAGGUGGCGAGCGUUGUCCGGAUUUACUGGGCGUAAAGAGCGCGCAGGGCGGUCUGCCAAGUCAGAUGUGAAAGAGGCCGGCUUAACCGGCAAGGGUCAUUUGAAACUGACAGACUAGAGUGCAGCAGAGGAUAGCGGAAUUCCCGGUGUAGUGGUGAAAUGCGUAGAUAUCGGGAGGAACACCAGUGGCGAAGGUGGCUAUCUGGGCUGCAACUGACGCUGAGGCGCGAAAGCGUGGGGAGCAAACAGG